AAAGAAUCAUAUAUACGUAUGUGUGUGUAUAGAUAAUUAGGGUCAGUAACGGUAAUACCUUGACGAAAGAAGCCACCUUACUGUUUGCCGUCUGUUUCUGUUCCUGACCGCUUCUGCUGUAUCUGAAGGAGGAGGUUAGCUGCAAACUGUAGUGUUGAUUGGUACCGUUGAUUCUUAUCAGCAUCAAACUCCAGCUUUUGCUGACCUGGCACCAUACUUUGUGUUUCAUAAGCAUUAGUAUUGUAUACCUGGCUUGAUGAUGUAACAACAUUACCCACACUGUGCAAAUCACGUGGGUAAUCAGCUUGGUAUUGCUUAGUAACCUGCAUAGGGCCGUUGACUUUAUUUGACUGCAUGAAAUCACCAGUCAAAUUGGAAGUUUCGUGUUCAUACAUCUUUCCUCGAAGUUGUCUUUCAUUUAACACUGGUUCCGGCACUGUAUUACCCGAUAGCUGUUGACCAUUAGAGUUGACCUUAGCUAAAGAAGCCAGAGAUGCAACAAGUUCAGGUGUUAAAGAAAGUCCAACUGAAGUAGUUGAUGUAGCGGUAACCGGUGGUACAUGAUCCGCAUGUUGUGGGAACUUCAGAACAAUCCCAUAAAGAAAGGCAGGACCAGAAACUUUCAAAACCGUUUCUAAAAAGUCAGAUGGUGGGACCAAGAAUAAAGUGGUCCCAUCACCAAAUUUAACAACACCUGCUCGGUUCCGAUCACCCAUGUACUGUAGAAACUCGGUAUACGAAGCAAAAUCCUCUUCACUAUCGGGUAAAAAGUAAACGAUAUCGAAUCCUAUAGCAUCUGCAUAAUGUUUUGCCAGCAUGUCCAGUCCUGUUCUAGCUGAACAAUUUACAAUUUCAGGCCUGCAUGUUGUCACAUUCAUAAUCUUAAAUGUUAAGACGUUGAGAUAUUAAUAAUGUAACACUUAAGGGUGACAAAUUCAAAAUCAGCUACAGUGGUUUCUUUUCAAUUUUUUCGUUUUUGUGUACCUCAACCCCUCAACUUUCAGCAUUGACACAUACACCCCCUCAGCUUUCUAAAAACUAUGCAAAUUGUCAUUUUGACCCCCCUCGAGUUUUACGUGCUUAUUUUUAUGUGCGCGGGUCAGAUAUAAUACGUUUUCAUGCUUAUUUUUAGGUACGUUCUCGGUUGGUCUACGUUUUGACAUAAACGAGUCGAGUCAAAUAUAAUACGUUAUCAUUAGGCGGUAUAAAUAGUUGCUUUAUAUUUCCAGCCACGCAACGCGCGAUACCAUUCUUUCACAUAAAAAACACUGUUUUCUUACUUGCUUAAUUUAAGUACGUUUUGGUAAAAAUCCAAGUUGGUUUACGUUUCGACGUAAUUUUUUCUCGGUAUUGAGUCAGGUCAAAUAACCUACGUUAUCGUGCUUAUUUUUAUGUGCGUUUUCAGUUAGUAUACACGUUUGUCGUAAAUUUGUUCAGAAACAUGUCAGGUCAAAUAUUUUACGAUACAAAUUUGAGUUACUUAAAGUUUCGACGCCGCCGCAACGCGCGGCGUGUCAGAAAUCAGAAUGCUAGUUUGUAAAAAGACUGGUCCAUCAAUGAGAGAAACGAAUUACUUACAUCUCAUAUCCAAUCCAAUCUCCGAUAGGAACACAACGUGCAUGACAAACAGGCGUUCCACCCUUUGCAAGGAUUCCUCGCCACAUAUAGUUUACAUCAGCACGAUCAACAUUCGAACUCCUCGUGAAUCUAGUGUUUGGGGAAACACUUCUGAAUACUUGAUCGUUUAACCGGGCAUGAUUAUUCGUUUCUUUUAUGGGCGUAUAACCAUCGGUUCUCAACCUCUUGGGCGCCCUUUGAAUUUGGUUUGCAUCAAAACCAUCCCAUGUCCCAUGAGUUGACUUGGUCAACGGAUUCAUACCUACUGAAGGAGACGAAAGCAUCUGAUUCGAAGGAGAUGACCUCCAAUUUAGAUCCCCGGUUGCAGUGACAAAACUAGGGUCGGGCCCACCGACAGUUGAAUCCAGAAAAGCAAAAGGUCGCGUAGAGCUAACGGGCCCUACAACACCAUGAGGAAUCACACGCUCACGUUGAGCAAUCACAUCCAAAUGUGGUGCAUGAAAUGGCAUUCCAUUAGCUAAUGCAACGGGCCUUGGGCCUAUGGAUCCGGUAAAAUAUGGGCUUGGUGCAGGCUUGUUUCUCGAGAACGUAAUUGAUAUUCUAGGAUCAUUGAAAAGUUUUCCCUGCAGCCCGUUCUUGGCACGUAGAGCCUCUUCCAUGCUUCUAAACUCGACAAAUGAGCAGAAUCUUGAGGGAAAACUUUCGAUUGUUUCGAUCUCACCGAACAAUAUUAAGGCAUUGUGCAACAUUUGUUCGUUAACGUGAACAGUGGGAGGAUAAGAUAUGCACAAAACAUUACUUGGAAGUUCUUCAUUCCGUUUCGGACCUUCUGAUGGCAGAAUAUGCUGUUAAAUAAACAUGAAGGGUAAAGUGUCUGCAGUCUGCGGACCACAUCUGCAGACAUCUGUAGAAAAGAGGUGGACCAAACCUUUGCAGUCUGCAAGAAGAAGGCUCUUUGUUUUUUAACGUAUGCAGUCUUCCAAAAUAAAUUGGUGGUAGUGUACGGGCGGUGGUGGUGGUGGUGCUGGACGGUGAUGGUGGUAGACGGUGGUGGUGGGUGAUGGACGAUGGUGGUGGUGAUGGACGGUAGUGGGUGGUGGACGGUGGUGGUGGUGGACGGUAGACGGUGGUGGUGGACGGUAGUGGGUGGUGGACGGUGGUGGUGAACUAUGGUCGUGGUGGUGAUGGGCGGUGGUGGUGGAUGGUGGCGUUUAACCCUCAGCAGACCUUAGAGGAUCUUAGAAGUGGUUGAGCCAAGUCUGCACCAAGAAGAGCUUGCGCAGACGUUUUUUAAUGAAACGUCUUCGGAAAAACAGUCUGUGCGUGGCAAUGUCUGCGCGGAGCAGACAGAAGAACUUGCGCAGAGGUUUUCAGAAAAAACAAACAGCACCUUAAUAUUCUACCAUGUAAAUUUUGCUUGGUCUUAUUAUGUGCAUUGUGAUUCAGUAACUGUCACUCUCAAAUUUAAUAGUCCCAUUAAAAGAGAAAAUAUAACCAAACAAAAUAGU
rnacentral:lncRNA from 1 species